CAAAGCAGCAGCAGCGUUCCACGACCAGCAUCCGACAUCGUGAUAAUAUGGAUUAUUAUUAACGGUCUAGAAUCUUAGAUUUCCAACGGAUUCGUCCGCUCCGCUUCCACCCUUGUCUAGGCUGGCUCUUCUUUUCUUCGUCUUCUAACCCAUAAACCCCAUUCCUUGAGCCCUUUCUCAAAAUCUCAUGUAGAUCCAGUGGAUAUCUCCAGAUGUCGCAUGAAUGGCCUGGAAUUAAAAAUUAAGUGGAAAUUACCUGGCUGCUUUGACUCCAGUACUAUCCCAUAUUGCACCUACUUUUGCUUUGGUACCGCUUGUGCAGAUAUCUGCUGUUGAAGACUGAAAGACAAGUGCCAAAAGUUCAUCUGAUAUAAUCUGAUACCCGAGCUUCCCAUCAUCUUCGGUUGCUAACAAGAAAAAGUUUUCAUUUGAUGCACACUCAUCUGCAAGUGGAAUAGGGUCUUCCAAAUUUUCAGAAUCAAUGAAUGUUGAAAUAGAUGCUCCCAGUUCCUCAGGAAACUGAUUUACUGCAGAUCAAGAUCUCCCCAAUUCAUGAAAGCAUGGAUCCUGGGGGUGUAAGUGAUGCAUUGAAGUAUAAUCAAUCUCUUGCUACAUAUUUGUCAUUCCUUUUUGGGAGGUCAGUGUUCAUGUGCAGGGUAUGUAUGGUGGCCAUCUGCAUACCAUAAAACGGCGCAAUGCAGCCUUGGUGUAAACAUGCUAGAAGAUGAACCUCCAUAAGCAAUAUACCUUUUUCAUGCACAUACAAUAUUCUUUUGUAUUGGCGCCAGUCUCUGGCCCUUCGCUACUGCAGGGGGCUAACAUAUAGGUUAUGUCAACAACCUGACCAACUAAUGGGAGAAGGCCAAGUAGCUUAGUGGCCUGCUUGACUGUAUUGUAUGUGCCGGUGAUGUUGACAUAGCUGGAGGCUUGGGGCAUUAUAGCAGAGGCAAUGAAGAUUCUCUAAUAAAACUAAAACCAUCGAAUGGGAAACGACUUGUUUGGUGAAAGGAACACGGCCUACCAGCUUGCAGCAUUUAAACAAUAACUCAGUUGAGUUCUUUAGUGUGGAUCACAAAGAUUACUUGCUUAUUUUUUUGUGAAGGGUGAAUCAAAGAUGCUUUUUCUGGUCCUACUUUCUGGAAUUCGUGUGGAGAAAAGAAACCGUACACUGACUUGCUUUGUUUUAACUUGCAUCUUCUCUAUUUAUGGCUUUUCAGCAUUUUAUAA